rnacentral:rRNA from 1 species
GACGAACGCUGGCGGCGUGCCUAAUACAUGCAAGUAGAACGCUGAAGAGAGGAGCUUGCUCUUCUUGGAUGAGUUGCGAACGGGUGAGUAACGCGUAGGUAACCUGCCUUGUAGCGGGGGAUAACUAUUGGAAACGAUAGCUAAUACCGCAUAACAAUGGAUGACACAUGUCAUUUAUUUGAAAGGGGCAAUUGCUCCACUACAAGAUGGACCUGCGUUGUAUUAGCUAGUAGGUGAGGUAAUGGCUCACCUAGGCGACGAUACAUAGCCGACCUGAGAGGGUGAUCGGCCACACUGGGACUGAGACACAGCCCAGACUCCUACGGGAGGCAGCAGUAGGGAAUCUUCGGCAAUGGGGGCAACCCUGACCGAGCAACGCCGCGUGAGUGAAGAAGGUUUUCGGAUCGUAAAGCUCUGUUGUAAGUAAAGAACGGGUGUGAGAGUGGAAAGUUCACACUGUGACGGUAGCUUACCAGAAAGGGACGGCUAACUACGUG